AUCACGUGGUUAGUAUUAUUUAAACAGCUGCUAGGUAAGAGCGCAGAUGUCGAAAUUUCGCAUCAUUUGUGUUGUGAAAUGAUUAGGAAGUUAUUCUGAAGAAUGUGAGAAUCUGAUCUGACAAAUCAAGGCCUCUUAUUUGUCUUAAGCCCGAAAGCAUGGCAUCACCAAUAUUUACGAUCAUGAGACAAUAAUUAAUGAAUUAAUCCUGGAGUUAAUUAAUUUUUGAUUCUUAAGUUACUAAAUUUUACAUAUAAAACAUUUUGAAGAAUUAACAGAGUAUACCAAAUCUAAUGGAAAGUAUUUUGAUUGCUGUUUGCUCAAUAUCUGUGGUAGCGUUCAUUGUAGUUGGAGGGUUGUUAUGCAGCAGAAGAAAGAAACCAACACUCAAAAAUUCCAUAGUGAUAGCUGAAAGUCUACAGCCUGAAGUUUUGUGCAAAUCCGUACCCUGUCAACAUCCUUAUUAUAGAGUAAUAUUUGAAUGUAGCAGGCAGAACAUUCCAGAAAAUAAUCUUACAAGGGAAAAGAAUAACGAUAGAAAUACAAAUGAUUUCAAUGAAACUGAGUGGUUUAAGAACCUCCAUUUAACAAGCAUUCCUCGGAAAACUAGAAGUGAUAGUAUGAACUCCAGAAGAUCAAGUUUAGCUGAGCAUGUUGGAACCCAUUCUAAAAAUAGAACUUUCUCUACCAGUUUGAAUCAGUGUGUGUAAAUAUAUUGAUGUCCUGCUCUGCCGUGCAAUAGAAAAAUCGGCAUAACUGACAAAAAAUUCAAACUAAAUAUUUUUAUAUAUUUGGUAUUUUUGUGUUGAUAAGCUACGUAUUACAACGCAAAAAAAAAUCAAAAAUUAUUUUUUUAAUCAAUUUUCUGAAAUUCUAUUGGAAGGCAAUGGAAGAAGAUAGUUAACAAGCUGCUUUGCUUGAAAUCUAUUGUGAAGCAUUUACGUCGUUUUUUCAAUUGCAUGGCAGUGUAAUAAAUAUAUUAUUAUGAGGAAACUAUUUCGAUGUGAAGUUUUUUAAUAAAAUGUUAAAUUCUUUAACAAAUAUGUAUAGUUAGAUUUUCAUUAUGAUAAAAUCAGCAAUUAUUUCAAGACAAUAA